CUGUGAAGAUGCAGUGUACCCGCGGCAAGACGGAAAGACCCCGUGAACCUUUACUAUAGCUUGACACUGAACAUUGAGCCUUGAUGUGUAGGAUAGGUGGGAGGCUUUGAAGUGUGGACGCCAGUCUGCAUGGAGCCGACCUUGAAAUACCACCCUUUAAUGUUUGAUGUUCUAACGUGGACCCGUUACCCGGGUUGCGGACAGUGUCUGGUGGGUAGUUUGACUGGGGCGGUCUCCUCCUAAAGAGUAACGGAGGAGCACGAAGGUUGGCUAAUCCUGGUCGGACAUCAGGAGGUUAGUGCAAUGGCAUAAGCCAGCUUGACUGCGAGCGUGACGGCGCGAGCAGGUGCGAAAGCAGGUCAUAGUGAUCCGGUGGUUCUGAAUGGAAGGGCCAUCGCUCAACGGAUAAAAGGUACUCCGGGGAUAACAGGCUGAUACCGCCCAAGAGUUCAUAUCGACGGCGGUGUUUGGCACCUCGAUGUCGGCUCAUCACAUCCUGGGGCUGAAGUAGGUCCCAAGGGUAUGGCUGUUCGCCAUUUAAAGUGGUACGCGAGCUGGGUUUAGAACGUCGUGAGACAGUUCGGUCCCUAUCUGCCGUGGGCGCUGGAGAACUGAGGGGGGCUGCUCCUAGUACGAGAGGACCGGAGUGGACGCAUCACUGGUGUUCGGGUUGUCAUGCCAAUGGCACUGCCCGGUAGCUAAAUGCGGAAGAGAUAAGUGCUGAAAGCAUCUAAGCACGAAACUUGCCCCGA
rnacentral:rRNA from 1 species